AACGAACGCUGGCGGCAUGCCUAACACAUGCAAGUCGAACGAGAUCUUCGGGUCUAGUGGCGCACGGGUGCGUAACGCGUGGGAAUCUGCCCUUUGGUUCGGAAUAACAGUUGGAAACGACUGCUAAUACCGGAUGAUCACGAAAGUCCAAAGAUUUAUCGCCAGAGGAUGAGCCCGCGUAGGAUUAGCUAGUUGGUGUGGUAAAGGCGCACCAAGGCGACGAUCCUUAGCUGGUCUGAGUGGAUAAUCAGCCACAAUGGGACUGAGACACGGCCCAGACUCCUACGGGAGGCAGCAGUGGGGAAUAUUGGACAAUGGGCGAAAGCCUGAUCCAGCAAUGCCGCGUGGGUGAUGAAGGCCUUAGGGUUGUAAAGCUCUUUUACCCGGGAUGAUAAUGACAGUACCGGGAGAAUAAGCUCCGGCUAACUCCGUGCCAGCCGCCGCCGUAA
rnacentral:rRNA from 1 species